rnacentral:rRNA from 1 species
UACGUCGGGGGCAAGCGUUGUCCGGAAUUACUGGGCGUAAAGGGCGCGUAGGCGGCCUUCUAAGUCGAACGUGAAAUCCCCGGGCUCAACCCGGGAACUGCGUCCGAUACUGGGAGGCUUGAAUCCGGGAGAGGGAUGUGGAAUUCCAGGUGUAGCGGUGAAAUGCGUAGAUAUCUGGAGGGACACCGGUGGCGAAGGCGGCAUCCUGGACCGGUAUUGACGCUGAGGCGCGAAAGCUAGGGGAGCAAACGGG